ACCAUGGAACCUCCCCUUGAAUAUGAUGAGUCAGUGCAUCCAUCACCAGAGCAAAUAGGAAUGGGCUUAGCGCAGACCCUUAGUGCAAUCCCGUAAUAAAUGAUAUUUAGGUUAAUAUUAGCAGAACAAAAACUAAAAAUAUCAAAAUUUAAACAAACACAAACUUAAUUGAACAGAAAAGUAACAAAACUUGACAUAAAAAUAAAAGAAAAAAAAAUAAAACUAUUAGCAGAAAUUGACAGCUAAACCAGUGAAAUCAACGUCCGAAUCAAUAAAAUUGACUGCCAAACGGUGAAAUCGAUGGCUUAAUCAGUGAAUCGAUAGCUAAAAUCAGUGAUUUAAACUGAUCUUCGUCCAAUACACACACAUGCACGCCUAAAAUCAAUGAAAUCAAUGGCUAAAUCAUCAAAAUCGAAACCUAAAUCAGUGAAAUUUACGGCUAAAAUCAGUGAUUUAAACUGAUAUCCAUCAAAUACACACGCACGCACGCCUUAAAUCAGUGAAAUCGACGGCAUUUUGGAAGGAAUUACACGAACGACUUGAAGCGAGUAUUUUAUCAGAAAAGGGUGAUUUACCUUAAACGAGUUGAAAUCUGAUCUCCUUACGUUAUUGGAAUCUCAAUAAUGAAUACUGAUUUGGGAGAAUCGAUUAGGGCCGUCUGUUUAGAGAGAAAGAGAGAGAAGGUGUAUAGAGAGAGAGAAGGUGUACAGACGUUUAGGGCUUUAGGAGUUCUAAUGAAUUUACUUAUUAGCAACGGGAGUUUUUA
rnacentral:lncRNA from 1 species